GGGGAAUAUUGCACAAUGGGCGCAAGCCUGAUGCAGCAACGCCGCGUGAGUGAAGAAGGUCUUCGGAUCGUAAAACUCUGUCCUAUGGGAAGAAACAAAUGACGGUACCAUGGGAGGAAGCCCCGGCUAACUACGUGCCAGCAGCCGCGGUAAUACGUAGGGGGCAAGCGUUAUCCGGAAUCACUGGGCGUAAAGGGUGCGUAGGCGGCAUGUCAAGCCAGAGGUGAAAGGCAUUGGCUCAACCAAUGUAAGCCUUUGGAACUGACGUGCUUGAGUACAGGAGAGGUAAGUGGAAUUCCUAGUGUAGAGGUGAAAUUCGUAGAUAUUAGGAGGAACACCAGUGGCGAAGGCGACUUACUGGACUGUAACUGACGCUGAGGCACGAAAGCGUGGGUAGCGAAC
rnacentral:rRNA from 1 species